AGUGAACGCUGGCGGUAGGCCUAACACAUGCAAGUCGAACGGCAGCACAGUAAGAGCUUGCUCUUACGGGUGGCGAGUGGCGGACGGGUGAGGAAUACAUCGGAAUCUACUUUUUCGUGGGGGAUAACGUAGGGAAACUUACGCUAAUACCGCAUACGACCUACGGGUGAAAGCAGGGGAUCUUCGGACCUUGCGCGAUUGAAUGAGCCGAUGUCGGAUUAGCUAGUUGGCGGGGUAAAGGCCCACCAAGGCGACGAUCCGUAGCUGGUCUGAGAGGAUGAUCAGCCAAACUGGAAAUGAGACACGGUCCCGACUCCUAAGGGAGGCAGCAGUGGGGAAUAUUGGACAAUGGGCGCAAGCCUGAUCCAGCCAUACCGCGUGGGUGAAGAAGGCCUUCGGGUUGUAAAGCCCUUUUGUUGGGAAAGAAAAGCAGCAGGUUAAUACCCCGCUGUUCUGACGGUACCCAAAGAAUAAGCACCGGCUAACUUCGUG
rnacentral:rRNA from 1 species